rnacentral:rRNA from 1 species
AAUAAACGCUGGCGGCGUGCCUAACACAUGCAAGUCGAGCGAGAAAGCUCCUCCGGGAGUGCGUACAGCGGCGAACGGGUGAGCAACUCGUGGGAAUUAACACCUCAGUGAGGAAUACCCUUUAGAAAUCGAGGCUAACACUGCAUACGUACUGUCAAGGUGAAUGAGGGCCUCUUUGAUGUAGUGGCACGCUGCGCAUGCGUACUAUUAGCUGGUAGGUAGGGGAACGGCCUACCAAGGCGAUGAGGGUUAACCGGCCUGAGAGGAUGUACGGUGACACUGGAACUUAGACACGGUCCAGACGCCUACGGGAGGCAGCAGUGGGGAAUCUUGCGCAAUGGGCGAAAGCCUGACGCAGCGACGCCGCGUGGAGGAUGAAGGUCUUCGGAUUGUAAACUCCUGUUAAGUGGGAAGAAAUAGCCAUCCUUAAUACGGGUGGCGAAUGACGGUACCAUUAGAAUAAGCACCGGCUAAUCUCGUGCCAGCCGCCGCGGUAA